rnacentral:rRNA from 1 species
CAGUAGCCGCGGGAAUACGUAGGGGGCAGGCGUUAUCCGGAAUUAUUGGGCGUAAAGAGUGCGUAGGUGGUCUACUAAGCGCGAGGUGAAAGGCAAUGGCUCAACCAUUGUUAGCCUUGCGAACUGGCAGACUUGAGUGCAAGAGAGGAAAGCGGAAUUCCUAGUGUAGCGGUGAAAUGCGCAGAUAUUAGGAGGAACACCGGCGGCGAAGGCGGCUUUCUGGAUUGUAACUGACACUGAGGCACGAAAGCGUGGGUAGCAAACAGGAUUAGAUACCCCCGUAGUCCCUGUCUCUUAUACA